rnacentral:pre_miRNA from 1 species
GCGAACGGUGUUCGAGGGCCAAUAAUACGCCAAAACGAUAUUAUUGCUCGAGAAUACCAUUCGU